UUUGGCCUAGGAUGCUUUGCACGGCUUCUAGAUUAUCUGAGGAGAUCUGAAACUCCUAUUCACUUCCGAAGUACUCACCCAUUUGUGCGUUGCUUUCUUUGUCACGAUUGUUCAACCAGAGUAAAGCCUCCCUUACUGCUAGGGUUUCGGCUACGAGAACUAAGGUCGCACGAAUUGACUUCAUGAAUCCAUCGGUGAGAAGACCGUUGCUAUUUCGAACAAUCCUCGCUACCGAGCCCGUCAUCGUGGAGCAACACCAGGCACUAUCUACGUUGAUUUUACAGGUUGGGGAUUUGUUGGUUUUGCUGUUCGUCGGAUCUGGGUGGUUAUGGGUGGUUUCGAGUUCUUGUACAAGAGCAUCAUGGAGGUUGCAUCUUCAAGUGCCCACCUGGGGUUUGGUCGACGGUCUUGGAAGAUAAGGGCGUUUCUUUCUUUCCAGAUUUGCCAUAGUGUGCCUGCAAAAAGGGCCUUGGCCUGAGGUGCUGCCGCCGAGGUAAGGAUAUCCCGAAUCCAUUUGUCUAUACGGGUAAUCUUCAUCGGGGAAGUGUUUAUUUGUAGUUGUGGGUCUGACCAAAUAGCCUUUGUCCAGCUGCAUAAGGCAAAUAGGUGCUCCACUGUUUCUGGGUUUUGCUGACAGAUUAUACAUCUCGGGUUAGGUAUCAUCUUCCGCUUGAAUAGGCUUUCUUUGGUGGGUAAGGCGUUGUUACACAUGCUCCAGACUAAAAAUCUGACUUUGGGGCAAAUCGGGAGCUUCCAGAUUUCAUGCCAUAAUGAUUUAGGAAUCUGGUAGGAAGUAGUAGGUUGAGUUGUGGAUGAAUGCUCUGUUUUAUGUUUGAGCCGAUUAUAGCUACUUUUGACUGUGUAGGAGCCUGAUUUGUUUGCCAUCUAAAUUAGCUUAUCAGGUUCUGGAGUUAAACUGAGAGGAGUCGCUAAGAUUUCGUUAGCCACCUCUUCACCAAAUAGCAUAUUCACUUUCCGCACAUUCCAUUCUCUGUUUGUUUGGUCUAUCAAUUCAGCCACUCUUUGUGGAUUGUUUCUAUUUGUUGGGCCCCCAAUCUUUCCCAAGGUUAGCCAUCGAUCUUCACUUAUCCUAAUAGUCUCUCCAUCUCCGACCUCCCAUUUAAUUGCUGGUUCAAUCACCUCCCUAGCCAUCAAGAGGCUCUGCCAUCCCUAAGACAGGCGAUAACCUUUUUGUGCACUCCAGAAAUAUCUCUUGGAAAGUAUAAACUCUUUAAAGUCCUGCUCCAUAAGGCAUCUGGUGUUUGAGCUAACCUCCAUGCUUGUUUUCCUAGCAAUGCUUUGUUGAAUUCCAUAAGAUCUCUGAAACUAAGGCCUCCACCAUCCUUUCGUGUUUUCAAAAAUUCUUAAUUCUUCCAGUGAACACCUUUCUUGGCUGAGUUUUGUUUCCACCAGAAGUUUGAUAUCCGUUGCUCUAUCGCUCGACAAAUAGAGAUUGGGAUUUUGAAGAGAGACAUAGCGUAUUGUGGCAAAGCUUGGACCACUGUCUUGAUAAACCACUGUCUUGAUAAGUAUCUCCUUCCCUGCUUUGGAGAUUAGUUUUUCUUUCCAGCCCUCCAAUUUCUUGUCUACUCGGGCAAGGAUCCAAGAGAACAUCUGUUUUUUGGUCUGGCCCCAAUCGGAAGGUAUUCCAAGAUAGGAACCUGUUUUUCCAUGGUAGGAACUCUUAAUUCAGUUGCUAGGUUUGAUUUCAAGAGUUGAGGACAGCCCUUUCCAAAGAAAAGCCCUGCCUUGUUAAGGUUGAUGGCUUGACCCGAGGCAGAACAGUAUCGGUGAAGGAUAUUGGUUAGGUUUUGUGCUUCAGUAAUUGUACUUUUGAGGAAGAAAAUAGCAUCAUCAGCAAAUAGGAGGUGGGACAAAGUGGGGCAGGUUGAGUUUAGUUGGAUGCCUUUGAUGGUUUAGUCUUCAAUGGCUUUGUUCAUUAGGGUUAAUAGGGCAUUGGCCAUGAGGAUGAAGAGAUAUGGGGAAAGUGGAUCUCCUUGAUGGAUACCUUGGGAUGGCUUAAAAGGAGUGGAUAGGUCUUCAUUUACUUGUACACUACGAGAAACUGAGGAGAUGCAUUGUCUAAUUAGGGCUACCCAUUUUUCAUUGAAUCCCAAUUGUAGUAGAUAAUCACAUAGGAAAUCCCACUCCACCCUAUUAAAAGAUUUUUGCAUGUCAAAUUUAAGAACUAUAUGAAAAUGUCUUUUCUGUUUCAUUACCCUCAGUUGGUGAAGGAUCUCUUGAACUAUAAAAAUAUUAUCUUGGAUUUGGCAGCCGUUGACAAAAGCACUUUGUUCUUGGGAUAUUAGGUUCGGGAGAAUGGGUUUUAAUCUGUUGGCCAGAACUUUGGCAAUGAUUUUAUAACUGAAGUUGCAAAGACUGAUAGGCCUGUAUUGAGUUAUACUUUCAGGGCUUGCUACUUUGGGAAUGAGAGUGAUAUGGGUUUUAUUAAGCUCGAGAUCGAGAGUACCUUGGCUGAAGAAGGAGUCCACCAUUUAAAAAAUGUCUUCGCGUACCACUGGCCAUUGGCUUUGAUAAAAUAAUCCAUUAAGUCCAUCCGGUCUUGGGGCUUUAGUGGCUCUCAAUUGGAAGACUGCCUCUCAAACUCUUUCUUCUGAGAUAGACUUGAUUAGGCCCUCAUUCAUUUCAACGGUAACUAGCUGUGUGCAUUGAUCAAGAAUUGGUUGAUAAUUCCUCUCCUCCCUGUAGUAUAUAAUGUUUGAUAAAAGGCCCUUAUAUGAUGCUUUAUGGUUAUAGGCUCGCGACUCCAUGUAGUGUCAUCUAGCCGUAGCAUAGAGAUUUUGUUCAUGAUUCUUCUUUGAACUGUUGUGGCGUGGAAAAAUUUUGUGUUUUGAUCGCCCCAUCUCAUCCAUGUGAUUCGUGAUCGCAUGCACCAAUACAUCUCCUCUUGUCUCCAGAGGUCUUCUAUUUUUCUGACCACAUUUCUGUACUCUUCUCUAUUUGAGGGCUCUUCCUCCUGAUUAGUCAAGUCUGUUAGUCGUCUUCUGAGUGCUUCAAUUUGUCGAGGUGCGUGCUGGAAUGUUCUUCUACUCCAUUUAGCUAGGUCGGCUACAACUUGCUUUACUUUUCCAGUAAUAUCUACUUGGUGGUUGCUGAUUUUCCCCCAUGCCUCUUGGAUUACCUCUAUACAUUCUGUUUUUACAAGCCAGUAUGCCUCGAAUUUGAAUGCUUUCUUUCUUUUCAUUGGAGAUGGUUCCAAAGUAAGAAGUAAGGGGCUGUGGUCAGAUCCUAUCACCGGUAGGGCAAAUACCUCUGCGCUCAGGAAUUCACGAAAAGCCACCAUUCUAUGUCUAAUUGCACAAUGCUCUGUCUAGCCUCUUCUUCACUAGGUCAGCUCAUUCUCGAUUAUUAGUCCAUGUGAAUUUGCAGCCCUUACUGUCCAAGUCCAUUGAAGAGCAUGAGUCUAGGAAUUCACGAAAAGCCACCAUUCUAUAUAUAUCUACCUCUCUUUUGCCCGCCUUUUCCCAGAGAUAAAGAAUUUCAUUAAAAUCUCCCAUACAAAGCCAGGGGAGAUUGUUAGAUGAAUUAAUUGAGCUGAGCAAUUGCUAAAGGCUUAAUCUCUCUUGGAAAGAAGUAGAUGCAUGUAAAAAGGAUAUUCUCAUUAAAUCACCACUGCUGUGAAUUUUGCACUUGACAUCGAUGAGCUCCCCAUAGCUGGCCAGAAUUUCCACAUGAACUUGAUCAUCCCACGUAAGAAUUAGACCCCUUGCAAUUCCGACUGGAUUGAUGAUACUAGAGUUUCUAAAGUUCAAACUCUUUCUUACUCGAUCAACCUUGCUUUCUUUAUUUUUGGUUUCCAUAAGGAGCACCAAAUUAGGCCUUUCAUGAGCCACGAGGGCUCUAAGGUGCUGAACUAUUAAGAGUGUGCAUUUUCCAUCUUUGCGCUCUGGAAAGAACCUCGUGUCUUGCCAUAUUGUGAUCAGUUGGGCAUCCAGCUUCAUUUUCCUAAUUCCAUUAGUUGUCUGACUUCUAAGUCGUUCUCCUUUGCCUGUCUUGGCGAAUGUUUCCUCUUUCAGAUUUCUCCUCCGGCAAUUAAUUAAUUUUAAAUCACCUCAUUUUUCUUUCUUUCUUUCUUUAUACUCGCCAUGAUUUCCCUACUCUUUAUGACUUUUCCCUGGGAAACAAUCUUUUGAUUUCCAGCUCAAUGUGCUGCCCCAAUUGACCUCCCUAUAAGACUAUCGAUGAAAGGAAAGUCGUACCACAGGUUUGAAGUAUACUCUCUGCGUAUUGUGCAAGACAAUUUGGUCUGAAGUAAGUUGUGGUGAUGGCAAUCCCAUAUUCUCUUGAAUUUCCUUACAUGAACAAGAACAAAUACAAAUCCUCGGAGAAUAGUCCUUUCAACUGUUAUUCUAAAUCACCCAGAUUACGCACACUUGAUACUUCUCCGAUAUCGAUGUAUUCCCACUCCUGAUUGUACCUCCGAAUGGACCACUUGGUGGGUUUCUGUAAUCUUUGACUCCCCUUACAAAGAAGCACUAAAUCCACUUCAAGUCGAGUGAAAUCACUUCGUAGUAAUUCUAAACUUAAAGCUGCCAACAAAAAGGGGGAGAAGACCUUCAAUCCCAAGGACCAUACAGAACCAUCCAAUCGAAAAGCACCGGAGCAGGAUUCUUCGACGAAUAAAGAAAUUGAAAGGAUGUUUUCAAGUGAUAUUUCAACAUCGCUUUUCAAACUCCGCCUUCUCUAAAACUUUCAAAGAGGAAUACAGAAGGGAAAUCAACCAAAGUUGAUUCUCGUCCAACCAAGCUUACUCCUCCAGUCACUAAGGGGUUCCAACUGAGUGACCUUCGUGCUUUGCAAGAUGCGGAAGAAGCGCAUGCGAUUGCACUUUUGGGGAGGAAAGAAAAAAGAAGCUCCUUGAUCUUAUCAGAAAGCUCGCAUAUCGGUGCAAGUCUGGACCCAUCAGCAAGAUUUGAUACCACCGGGUCCGUGGGUGCUUCUCUUGCCUCAAGAUGUCAGAUUACUCCUGCCAUUGCUUCCCUUGGUGGUGCUGGUGUACGCCUAUCAGUACCAACAACCAGGACUCAUUAAGUGUGCCCGUUGACAUGUCUCAGCAGCCUUUGUCAACUAAACUUGCUCUCUUAGUUCUUCCAGCACCUGAGCAAGGAAUGUUUGCCUACUUUCUCUUACUCAAUCUAUAUGUACCUUAUCACACAAUUAAAUCUUUUUUUCAAUUAGGUGUUACGAAGGCUUCAUUAUCGAGUCUGUCAUCUGCUUCCAAUUAAGUUGUCAAUUUAGGGUGUCCUUUUCUGGUGAACCAAGCAAAGAUAUUGGUUCUGCUGCCGAAGCGACUUGUAGUUUUCCAUAAACUUCUGCUCUUGCUGAAAAUCCAUCUAGCGCUCCAUCAUCAUUUCCUUCUUUGAUGCAGCAAUCAUAUCAGGCUGGUGAUAAGGGUUCUCCGGAUUCUUUUGUCAGAGCCAGGCAUAUGUUGGAAGAAGUUUCUCAAGUUUUAGCUGUUAAUCCUAACGACUUAGCUUCUGAAAUUCCAUCCCCUCGUGAAGCCAUCAUCGAGAGGGCUUCCGGAAGAGUUAUGCGGAGACAGCAUCAGCUCUACCUUACCUCCCGAACUCAAGGAAAAGUGUCCAGAAUUUCCUGAAUGGUUUCUCUACAGGGGUGGAAACUUAUCAACGCAACCAUGAAUUGAUCAUUUCCCUGACCAUUUCAAAGGAAAGUCAUUCAAACUCUAGUCACUCUAUUGAGGAAGCCAGUCAAGACGUAAGGACAAGUCACGCCACCUUACGGACUAUGAUAGAUGAAAUAGCUGAUCUCGGUGAGGAGGAAACACUUCUUGAAAAGCAAUUGACUGAGAUCGAAAAGAGACUGGCAGAUGUACACCAUCAACAAAAGGUUAAGCAUGCGAAGAUGGUUCGAGCGGAUGAAGUUUUGGGUCAACAUACUGCCUUUCUCAAAGGAUCGAAGGAGGACGAACAUGAUCGCUUCUCUGCCACGAGAGCUGAGAGAUGUUGCAUCAAGAAUUGGCACAUCAAAGAAAAUAGUAUCUUAGAUUACCGUAUAUUGGCCCUUCAAAAGGACAUUAGGAAUUUUCUAUACCCACAAAAUAUACCUGGCUAAUGAAGCUACUUCUUGUCUCUUGAUUUUCUUGAAUGUGCAUGUCGAUCCUGGAAACCUUCACUGGUCCUCAUCUUGACGACUUUUGGUAUGUUGAAAAUAUCAACCUCUUAGAUCAUGAUGAAUUUAUGGCGGAAAUGAGCUGCUUUUCAAA